ensembl:lincRNA
GUUGUCUUUAAAGUUAUGUCCAGAGGAAUAUGGGCUCUGCUAUUUCUCCAAGAGUCAGGUUUGCAAAUUCAAGAAAACAGCACUUCCUAGGGAAGCCUUCUGUGAUCUCUUCCAGAAAGUUGUCCUUCCCUUCCUCUAACCAUUGUAUGUGCACCUUCUGUGUGUUGGUUAUUUCCAUAUUUGUCUGCCUUUCUGAGGCAAAGUAACAGAAUACUUGGAGCACAGACCCUGGGGCAACCAUGCCUGGCUUCAGAUCCCGGGUUUGCCUUUACUGACUCUGCCCCUCUGGACAGCUCUCUCGCGGGCACAGUGAGGAUAAGCAGCGUUUGUGUUGCGGGGUUGUUUGCACACAUCCUGAGAUCCUGACGUUGCAAAACCCUCAAUACAAUGAGCUACUGUGAUGGUGGUGGUUGAUAGAACAGGCUCUGGAACCAGACCUGCCUGGGUGAGUUUGUCGCAGUGCUCCGUUGUUCAUCUGUCUCAGCUUAGCCUUCCUCAGCUGGAAGACGGGAACAACCACAAUCUCUGUCUCCGUGGGUUGUUAUCAGGGUGAUUCAGGGAAAGUGUCUGGCUCAUGACACUCAGGAAAGGCUACACACCAGACUCAGAUUUUUCCCAGCGGUGACUUGUUCUAAUUCAUCUUUGUACUCUUAGCACCUGGUCUGGGUUUGGCACAAGUUAGGGGGUAUUGAAUCUGUGGAUGCUGACUCUCCUGGGUUAACCAUCUCCCGUAUCUUGCCCUCUGCUAGCAUGGGUGCAUGCACCCACAUACACACACAUCAGGUAUAUAUAUAUACAUGUAUAUAUACAUACACAACGCAUGCCCGCCACACCCGCAGACACCACAUCCACACAUACACACUGCAUGUGCAAUAUAUGCAAACAUCACACAUACCACACCACACACCAAGCACAAAGGCGUAAACAGCAGACACCGUCCCCCGAUACAGGGCACCAUACCACAUACACACCAUGCGCACAUACACACACAGCAUAUACACACCACACCCAGAAACUUGAUACCGACACACAUACAGAUCCUACAGCGCACACACAAAGACCACGUUUCUCACCACAAAUACACAAUGUUACACAUGCCACGUGCACCACACACCAAGCACCAACGUGCAAACACCUUCCCCCACCCCCAGCGUGCCACACCCACUCUCACACACAGUUACAACACACACAUCACAAAAAGUACAGCUACACAUCCACACGCCUUUCCCUUCUCCCUCAGCUGCUCUGGGAGCUGCGGGAGCUGCGUCAGCUUCGAAGAAGUGACUCAACUUCCAGGGCUUGUUUCUACAAGUGCGAAGUCCCUCGUCAGCUGUGGCCACCUCCCUGAGAAGGCAUGCAGGCUUAGGAAGGCUGCAGAGUUUAUCAACAUGGUCUUACAGACAAGGAUGCCAAGAAUCAGAAAGAUGCCACUAUGUGUCUGGAAUCUCCAUCUCCCAGCCCAGGGAGGAGUCCAAGGUGGAUUGUUCUCAGAUAUAUUUUACCUGGCAGGAGACUGAACCACAAGCACUCCUAGUCUUGGCCGAAUUGAUAGCAUAUUUUUACGUUCGUGUCUCUUCCUUCCUGUUUUACUCACUGGUGC